rnacentral:rRNA from 1 species
GCUACGGGAUGCAGCAGUGAGGAAUAUUGGUCAAUGGCCGGAAGGCUGAACCAGCCAUGCCGCUUGAAGGUCAGUGCCCUAUGGGCGUUAAACUUCUUUUGUGCGGGAGCAAUAAUGGUCACGUGUGGCCAGCCGAGAGUACCGUACGAAUAAGCAUCGGCUAACUCCGUGCAAGCAGCCGCGGUAAUCCGGGGGCUGCAAGCGUUAUCCGGAUUUAUUGGGUGUAAAGGGCGUGUAGGCGGGAGAGCAAGUCAGACGUGAAAGUCCAGGGCUCAACCCUGGAACUGCGUUUGAAAAGGUUCUUCUUGAGUGAUGGAGAGGCAGGCGGAAUUCCGUGGGUAGCGGUGAAAGGCGUAGAUAUACGGAGGAACACCAGUGGCGAAGGCGGCCUGCUGGACAUUAACUGACGCUGAGGCGCGAAAGCGUGGGGAGCAAACAGGAUUAGAUACCCUUGUAGUC